GCGGCGCCGCCCCUUGCCCUCCGCCGGCUUGCUGAGGGCGCUGCAGCCCCUUGCCCUCUGCUGCCUGGUGAGGUCUCCUCCACCCCUGGUGUUCUGUAAACAUGAUUCAAAUUGUUCCAUUCUGGAAUGGUGACUGAAAAUUGGUCAGUGAACUGUCAAACGUUGAGGAUAAAUAAAGCAAAACACCUGGUGGUCUCAAUGCAGGUUGUCAUUUUUAUCGUGACAAACGUACGGUUUCGGUGUGAUUUUACAGUUAAUGGAUCAGAAGACUUGUGUUUUUCCUGCUGUGUUCUGAACUGUUUCCAUGUACAUCCUCUGCUUUACAUUGAAAUCAGGAAAUGGAAUGAUCCCUCUAGAGGACAUCAGUCACUAAUGUAUCCAAAGCAUAACUUAUGUUUUCGUAGCUGGUAUUCUCUUAUAUGUUUAUAUACAAGGCAACAUAUCAAAUUGUGUAAACAUGAUUCAAAUUGUUCCAUUCUGGAAUGGUGACUGAAAAUUGGUUAGGUUUGUCUCCAUUGACUGCCAUGCUGUUGCAAGGUGCAUUGGCGGGAGCACACUGGCAAGAGCAAGGUUGCAUUGUUCUGAAGAUGUGCCAUCCUGAGGUGCAUUGGCGAGAGCAAGGUUGCAUUGUUCUGAAGAUGUGCCCAUCCCGAGGUGCAUUGGCGAGAGCAAGGUUGCAUUGUUCUGAAGAUGUGUAUUGGCGAGAGCAACUGAACAGGAGGAUUACUUCAUUCUCAAGAUGUGUGCUGUCAUGAGAUGCAUGGAAGCAUGUGUGCUGUAAAUCGGGUUGUGCCUCGUGUUCCGUAAACCUUGCAGGUGGUAGCAAGUUGGGCAAGUUGUGAUUGUAUAGGACACAUCAAAGACUAUAGAAAUUGUAUAGAUGGCAAAUUGUAUUCUAAUUUGUGCUAUCACUGGAAUGAACAGAAAUUUGCACAAAUUGUACUCUAGUUUCUCAAUUUGGG
rnacentral:lncRNA from 1 species